UUACGGCCAUAUCACGUUGAAACACCGCUUCCCGUACAAUCACUGAAGUUAAGAAAGGUCGAGCAUGGUCAGUACGUAGAUGGACAACCACUUAGGAAUACC